rnacentral:rRNA from 1 species
CCGGCGACCGGCGCACGGGUGAGUAACACGUAUGCAACCUGGCCGUGACAGAUGGAUAACCGGGAGAAAUCCCGCCUAAUACAGCAUGACACCGGGAAGGGACAUCCCUUUCCGGCCAAAGGGGGCGACUCCGGUCACGGAUGGGCAUGCGGCGCAUUAGGUAGUUGGUGGGGCAACGGCCCACCAAGCCGACGAUGCGUAGGGGUUCUGAGAGGAAGGUCCCCCACAUUGGAACUGAGACACGGUCCAAACUCCUACGGAAGGCAGCAG